UACGGAGGGUGCAAGCGUUAAUCGGAAUUACUGGGCGUAAAGCGCACGCAGGCGGUUUGUUAAGUCAGAUGUGAAAUCCCCGGGCUCAACCUGGGAACUGCAUCUGAUACUGGCAAGCUUGAGUCUCGUAGAGGGGGGUAGAAUUCCAGGUGUAGCGGUGAAAUGCGUAGAGAUCUGGAGGAAUACCGGUGGCGAAGGCGGCCCCCUGGACGAAGACUGACACUCAGAGACGAAAGCUAGGGGAGCAAAUGGG
rnacentral:rRNA from 1 species